AGGAAAUAAACUGAUGUGAGAAAAAGCUACUAACUUUUAACUUAAGCGGUUGAAUUCCGUUUUUAUUUCUUA
rnacentral:tRNA from 1 species